GUCCCGGUUUAAGCGUGUAGGUGUGUGUUCCAGGUAAAUCCGGUUCACUUUAACACUGAGGCGUGAUGACGAGGCGCUACGGUGCUGAAGCAACAAAUGCCCUGCUUCCAGGAAAAGCCUCUAAGCAUCAGGUAACAUCAAAUCGUACCCCAAACCGACACAGGUGGUCAGGUAGAGAAUACCAAGGCGCUUGAGAGAACUCGGGUGAAGGAACUAGGCAAAAUGGUGCCGUAACUUCGGGAGAAGGCACGCUGACACGUAGGUGAAGUGAUUUACUCAUGGAGCUGAAGUCAGUCGAAGAUACCAGCUGGCUGCAACUGUUUAUUAAAAACACAGCACUGUGCAAACACGAAAGUGGACGUAUACGGUGUGACGCCUGCCCGGUGCCGGAAGGUUAAUUGAUGGGGUCAGCGCAAGCGAAGCUCCUGAUCGAAGCCCCGGUAAACGGCGGCCGUAACUAUAACGGUCCUAAGGUAGCGAAAUUCCUUGUCGGGUAAGUUCCGACCUGCACGAAUGGCGUAAUGAUGGCCAGGCUGUCUCCACCCGAGACUCAGUGAAAUUGAACUCGCUGUGAAGAUGCAGUGUACCCGCGGCAAGACGGAAAGACCCCGUGAACCUUUACUAUAGCUUGACACUGAACAUUGAGCCUUGAUGUGUAGGAUAGGUGGGAGGCUUUGAAGUGUGGACGCCAGUCUGCAUGGAGCCGACCUUGAAAUACCACCCUUUAAUGUUUGAUGUUCUAACGUGGACCCGUGAUCCGGGUUGCGGACAGUGUCUGGUGGGUAGUUUGACUGGGGCGGUCUCCUCCUAAAGAGUAACGGAGGAGCACGAAGGUUGGCUAAUCCUGGUCGGACAUCAGGAGGUUAGUGCAAUGGCAUAAGCCAGCUUGACUGCGAGCGUGACGGCGCGAGCAGGUGCGAAAGCAGGUCAUAGUGAUCCGGUGGUUCUGAAUGGAAGGGCCAUCGCUCAACGGAUAAAAGGUACUCCGGGGAUAACAGGCUGAUACCGCCCAAGAGUUCAUAUCGACGGCGGUGUUUGGCACCUCGAUGUCGGCUCAUCACAUCCUGGGGCUGAAGUAGGUCCCAAGGGUAUGGCUGUUCGCCAUUUAAAGUGGUACGCGAGCUGGGUUUAGAACGUCGUGAGACAGUUCGGUCCCUAUCUGCCGUGGGCGCUGGAGAACUGAGGGGGGCUGCUCCUAGUACGAGAGGACCGGAGUGGACGCAUCACUGGUGUUCGGGUUGUCAUGCCAAUGGCACUGCCCGGUAGCUAAAUGCGGAAGAGAUAAGUGCUGAAAGCAUCUAAGCACGAAACUUGCCCCGAGAUGAGUUCUCCCUGAGACUUUAGGUCUCCUGAAGGAACGUUGAAGACGACGACGUUGAUAGGCCGGGUGUGUAAGCGCAGCGAUGCGUUGAGCUAACCGGUACUAAUGAACCGUGAGGCUUAACCUUACA
rnacentral:rRNA from 1 species